GUGAGUCAUCGAAUCUUUGAACGCACAUUGCGCCCAUUGGUAUUCCUUUGGGCAUGUCUGUUUGAGCGUCAUUACAACCCCUCAGCUAACGCUGGUUUUGAACCCGAACGGCCUCGUGCUGCACCGGUUUUAAAGUUGUAAGCUCUGCUGGCCGCUCUGCCCCAACCAGAACAUAGUAAGCAACUACUUGUUAGGGUGAAGGUGAACGGUUACGGCCUGAACAAAACCUACCACUUCUCAAGGUUUGACCUCAGAUCAGACAAGGAUACCCGCUGAACUUAAGCAUAUCAAUAAGCGGAGGA
rnacentral:misc_RNA from 1 species